AUUGAACGCUGGCGGCAGGCCUAACACAUGCAAGUCGAACGAGUGGCGGACGGGUGAGUAAUGUCUGGGCAACUGCCAGAUGGAGGGGGAUAACUACUGGAAACGGUAGAAAACACCGCAACCCAUCGGAUGUGCCCAGAUGGGAUUGGCUAGUAGGAGGGGAAACGGCUCACAUAGGCGACGAUCCCUAGCUGGUCUGAGAGGGUGCCCAGCCACACUGGAACUGAGACACGGUCCAGACUCCUACGGGAGGAAGCAGUGGGGAAUAUUGCACAAUGGGCGCAAGCCUGAUGCAGCCAUGCCGCGUGUAUGAAGAAGGCCUUCGGGUUGUAAAGUACUUUCAGCGAGGAGGCGUUACUCGCAGAAGAAGCACCGGCUAACUCCGUGCCAGCCGCCGCGGUAAUUC
rnacentral:rRNA from 1 species